AUUGAACGCUGGCGGCAGGCCUAACACAUGCAAGUCGAACGAGUGGCGGACGGGUGAGUAAUGUCUGGGAAACUGCGUGAUGGAGGGGGCUGACUACUGGAAACGGUAGCUACUACCGCAUACCAUCAGAUGUGCCCAGGUGGGAUUAGCUGGUUGGUGGGGUAACGGCGCACCAAGGCGACGAUCCCUAGCUGGUCUGAGAGGAUGACCAGCCACACUGGAACUGAGACACGGUCCAGACUCCUACGGGAGGCAGCAGUGGGGAAUAUUGGACAAUGGGCGAAAGCCUGAUCCAGCCAUGCCGCGUGUAUGAAGAAGGCCUUCGGGUUGUAAAGCACUUUCAGCGGGGAGGCGUUACCCGCAGAAGAAGCACCGGCUAACUCCGUGCCAGCAGCCGCGGUAAUUC
rnacentral:rRNA from 1 species